rnacentral:rRNA from 1 species
CAGUAGCCGCGGGAAUACGUAGGGUGCGAGCGUUAAUCGGAAUUACUGGGCGUAAAGCGUGCGCAGGCGGUUUUGUAAGACAGAUGUGAAAUCCCCGGGCUCAACCUGGGAACUGCAUUUGUGACUGCAAAGCUAGAGUGCGGCAGAGGGGGAUGGAAUUCCGCGUGUAGCAGUGAAAUGCGUAGAUAUGCGGAGGAACACCGAUGGCGAAGGCAAUCCCCUGGCCUGCACUGACGCUCAUGCACGAAAGCGUGGGGAGCAAACAGGAUUAGAUACCCCCGUAGUCCCUGUCUCUUAUACA